UCACCUUUUCUUCAAUAUUUCUCCUUCAUCUUAUAUGCACCUGUGAAACCUGCAUAUAUUUUACCACAAAUAUUGAUGCCCAAUUUUUUUGGCACCUACCUAUUGGGGUUGCAAGCAGCUUACAGAGGCCUACUCGAUUCCCAACUAGAGAGAACUCAUGCCUCCCGGGAUCUCUGGCAAGGACGGAUUGUCAGGAAGAACAACUACACACUGAUCAAGGCUUUAUUGCAGAAAGUUGCAGGUGGUACGUGGCAUUUACAAAGAAAUACAUUUUGUGUACAUACAGGGAGCUCAAGAAGAGAUUUUGUAAUUAUGGAUUCUGGCAAAAUUAUUUGAUAUUCUUUGCUGAAUGCCCAUAUCUUAUUUCAAACCUCCAUACGAUGCCAUGAGACCACAUUUCAGUGAGGCAUUUUGCAAAACAUUCCACAUCAUGAUCUAUGUUUCCACAUUUUUCGUUCAUUUCUACUAUUAUGUAGGCGGAGAAACAAUGGUUCCACUCUUACCGCGGGUAUUAUUGCCAACAGAGAGGGAAUUUCUUGGUUGAUGAAGGAUAAAGUGCAACAGACAAAUUACUUUGUAUCUCUCACCCAAGCCUCCACUUGCAGAAUUGAUUUUUUUAAUGGCGAAGAGAUUUACACCCCUUUCAAGAACCUCCUUCCUAUGAUGAUCUUGGCGAGAUUUCUGGUGGUGUUGCAUGUUUGAGGAUUUGAUUUGGGUCCAUGCUAUAUCACCAAUGGCAUUUUAUUGGUCUAGUGGUUGAUUUGCGUAUCGUGUGAUGUAAUUUUGUAAUUAGGUCUUAAGGGUCGAGCCAACCUUGUAGUCAAGGUUGAUGAUUUGUAUAAAUGGGUGUUAUAUUCAUGUAUUUUGUGAAAAGGUGUUGUGUCUGCAUUAUCAGAGUGUUUUAUGUGCGAACAAGUGAAUUCAUCUUUCGGUGAGAAGUAUUAAGCAAAGAGUGUUGCAGGGCAGACAAAUGUGCUUAAUCGAAACUGUCAUCAGACAUUUGGAGAUGCUAUUCUUUUAGUUCAUGUAAACCGGAUUGUUGUCCAAAUGUUGUUGUAAGAUAGUGAACCUUCCCUGAGGGUUUUAUCUUUCCAGGUCAUUAUAUUUUGAGCAGCAAGUUCUAGGCAGUGUGCCUGAAUGCAUGUGCAUUCUCAAUUGUAAUAUUUUUACAUACUACUACAAAGUAUCAUC